UACGUAGGGGGCUAGCGUUGUCCGGAAUCAUUGGGCGUAAAGCGCGUGUAGGCGGUCCGGUAAGUCCGCUGUGAAAGUCGGGGGCUCAACCCUCGAAUGCCGGUGGAUACUGUCGGGCUAGAGUGCGGAAGAGGCGAGUGGAAUUCCUGGUGUAGAGGUGAAAUGCGCAGAUAUCGGGAAGAACACCCGUGGCGAAGGCGGCUCUCUGGGACGGUACUGACGCUGAGACGCGAAAGCGUGGGGAGCGAACAGG
rnacentral:rRNA from 1 species